GUUAUUAUUCUGUGUUCAGGAUUAUAUCUCUAGUCUGAAUACAAUAUAUAUGAACUCUAUCCUGAAGAAUCCUCCAAACCAGAAUAUAUAUCUCAGACUUCAAGAGAUUUGGACCCUCAAGAAUUUAGUUCCCGGCUGCAAUAAUGAAGGUGUUGUUCUUUCUCAGUUUUCCAAACUCGACACUUCAGCUUUCUGUCUAGCGCAUUUACUAACAUAUAGGGAUUUUGGGUGUGUGGUUGGCCUAGCUACAGUGGGUGGGCUGUGUAAGAAGGCGGGGAAUACAGGAUUCACAAAAACACGCAUGCAGCCUUCUGAUAAGAAUAGUACAGUUAACACAAUGGCGCACGAGGUGGGCCAUAAUUUCGGAGCUGAUCAUGAUGGAGGGAAUUCAUCAGCUUAUGCUCCUUGUAAUCCAAAGGAUGGUAACUAUAUAAUGGGAGGAGGAUCUAAGGAUUUCUCAUUCUGCAGUAUUCAAGCAAUGCAACACAGAAUACACGAAGUCAUCAGCGAACCAGCACUUUUUAAAUCAUGCUUCAAAAGUAUGCCAAUGAAUGGCCAGGGAGUUGUGAAUAUUAAGAAAAAAGAAUUAGCGAGGUCUAGUAUACCCUGUCCUCCAAGCCCUAUAACAGAGGAUGAUACUUGUAAGGAUAAUCCUGAUCCUCCUGAGCCUCCUAAACCUCCACCUGACCCAGUCUGUGGGAAUGGUGUCCUCGAACAGCCAGAGGAAUGUGAUUGCGGAGCAACUCAUGAGGUUUGUGAAGAUCCUUGCUGCUAUCCUGGUACACUAAGUGAAUAUGAUUUGUCAAGCAAUAGUUCUGCUGCACCCUGUAAACUCUACUCACAUCAUCCCUGCUCUAUGCCCUUCAGUUCACCGUUGAUUUACGGGUUAGCAUACUCCUGGCUUUUUCUACUAAUACUGGCACUCAUCAUAGGAAUUGCACUGGUUGUUGAUUGGAAGUACAGAAGAUGUAUGUACGGGCAUAUUAUGGACCCAGAGGAAGAUAUUAGAAUCAACACAGAGGGGAAUAUCCGGCAUUGAAGGGAGAGAGUCCUUGAUAAUUCUCAAUCUCGAGACCCAGUUCAAGUGAUUUGAUAACUUAAUAGUAUAACUUUUUGCCUUGUAACAACAAAAGUACUGAUUUAAUGUCGUCUACCUAUUCCACAAUUUUCUAGUUAUCAUUUUAGGCAUUUGAAAAUACGUUUAUAAUUCCCUUUAAGCACAAUAUUUGUUUAACUGUAGAUAUGUAUCUAGUCUCCCUCAUUUCCUUAUAUUAUUAUUAUAAUGAUCUGAACUGCACUAUUUGUGAUAUUUGUAAAUAAAAAAUAAAUAAAAAUGUUCUUG